ACACGGAAAAAACCCAGAGGAUCAGAGGCUACAGUCUUCAGGUAUUUGCAAUUUUCGGGCCUGGACAAUAAAUCCAAGCAACUGCGAAGUUACGUGUCAGUCUUAUUCUAAUAUGGAUACAGCGUCUAAAUGAAAAAUGCAGAAAAAUCGUUGGGGUUCUCCGUCCGAUUUGCGAUGCUGCUCUUUGACAGAACUUCGCACGUGUUGUCCAUUUUGUCGCAUUUCCGAACGGAAAAAUGGAGAUCUCUCGACGAGUAUCAGGAAUUGCUCGGUCCAGUCGACACGCUCGUUUUCCUGAAGCCGUAAUAUAGACGUAGCAAUAUCAAGAUAUUCCGAUGGUUUCGGGUCGUGGCACAAUUGACUC